rnacentral:lncRNA from 10 species
UUAGGAUGAGGUCCCUCCAUAAAAAUGCAAGGGGAUCAGUUAAACUUUCACUUCUAAUUUAUUCAUGAAGGAGCGAGGUCUUGCCUGGCCGUGCUGUGCGUCAUCCUGUCAGAAUGACUUUCUCUCUUGUUGAGAAGGGAGAUGGAAAGACAGGAAAUCGGGGGCUCCAGCUCUCCUAGUAAUUGCUGUGAGAAUAAAAAUGUAAGACACAGUUAUCCAGAAAGAGCCCUAGAGAUGGAUAAGGAACCUGUUGGAAUGCUCUGAUAUUAAGAAAAAAAAAAUUAAAUUCAAAACCAAAAACAAGUCACAAGGGAGUUUUAUGCCUAUGUAAUCAGUGCAGACAGCCGUUAAGUAAAUGAAGAGGCAACUAACAAUGUCAGAAAAGAGACCGGGCGGUUCCGGCUGACACUACCCUAAUCUUCCAGGACCCAUUAAAUGGUAGUUUCAACGCAUUACCUACCAUAACAUCCUUGAAUAUCACUGAUUUUAUUUGCAGUAUCAAACAUUCCAUUUCAUGCCCCAUUAACAGUGGGAGCCUGGGCUUUUUGACGCAGCUAAACAUUUUACUAACUACCUGGACUAAGUAACCAAUUAACUUUUGGAGACAAUACGGCCAAUUAAGCGCGAAAAGCAGAAAUAUCAGUGUCCGACAAGAUAUUGCCCUGGUUUUCACUGGCUUGGACUCUUCAGAGAGAAAAACAAAUCCAUGUAUAGAGAGAAAAUUUGGAAAACAGGCUUUUCCUAUCCGGAUGAACAGAGAUAAUUUGUGUCGAUGGAUGUUCUGUGAAGGCCUAUUGUGUCGAGCAGCGUAUUAAAACAUAAACAUGGCUCUUCCCCCAAGAAACUUACAUUUCAGUAAGGGAGCCUGGCCAAAAUGGAAAACUGCAAGGUUCAAAUCCUGGAGUGCAGAAGAAGCAUUAGGCAUUGACCCUGUGGCUUCCUAAUAGAUCCGCAAAGUGCUUUGUUCCUGGAAAUCAUCCGAUGAGUAGUUCAGUGCUAUUGUAUAUCUUGUUAGAGCAGCCGAAGUGCCACAAAAUGAACUAAAAUCUCCCUGCAGAGUUGCUGUAUCAUAUGCUGAGAACAUUCGGAACUUUCAACAAAUUCAUGUUACGAUCCUGGGUAGCCAUGGUUAAAUCUGUACAGGGGUUAAAUGAGAAAUAUGAGCCUGCUGUUAAGUGUCUUCUGAGAGUGACAAAGCUCUGGCCAUAAGGGAUGGGAGAGGAGGGAUUUCUUCUCAGCCUUCCAGCCCUUUCCAGCUGUAUCACAGACAGGAGACAUAAUGCAAAGGGGCUCAGACAUUGACUUCCUGGAUCUUUGCGGCCCCAGGCAUUGACCCCCUCUACCUGGCUUUUCCUACGCUGUAAAAUGAGGAUCCUCCUAUAUUAUGGAGUUUAUUGUGACAACUAAAUAGCUGAGAAGAAGGACAUCUCAUUUGUUUUAACUAUGCAGUUUCCUGUCUAUCUAUCUAUCUAUCCCAUCAAUCUAUCAAUCAAUCUAUCAAUCUGUCUAUCCCUAUCUAUCUAUCCAUCUAUCUAUCUAUAUCUGUCUAUAUCUAUCUAACAUUUAUCUAUCAUCUAUUCAUCUAUCAGCUAUCUUCUGUCUAUCAAUAUUUCAAUCAAUCUCUCUAUCCCUAUCAAUUAAUCUAUCUACCUACCUAUCAACUAUCCAUCUAUCUCUAUCAUCUAUCAUCUAUUCAUCUAUCAUUUAUCAUCUGUCAAUCCAUCUUCCUACUAUCUAUCAAAAGCAACACAUUUUCUUCCUGACUUUAAAAAUAUUUAAGUGGGCCGGGAGGAUGGCUCACGCCUGUAAUCCCAGCACUUUGGGAGGCCUAGGCGGGCGGAUCACGAGGUCAGGAGAUGGAGACCAUCCUGGCUAACAUGGUGAAACCCCGUCUCUACUAAAAAUACAAAAAAAAAAAAAAAUUAACCAGGCGUGGUGGAGGGCGCCUGUAGUCCCAGCUACUCGGGAGACUGAGGCAGGAGAAUGGGGAGAACCCGGGAGGCGGAGCUUGCAGUGAGCCGAGAUCAUGCCACUGCACUCCAGCCUGGGCGACAGAGCAAGACUCCAUCUCAAAAGAAACAAAAACAAAAACGUAAGUGAUACUCUGUCCACUCUUUUGAUUGAGGAGGUCUGAUUUUCAGGCUUUGGAUUUUAUUAUGUCUUCAAUAUAAUAAUUGUUCCAUGUAUCUCUCCUAAAUUGCCAUUUGAAAAACUGCUUUUCUGAAGUUUAAAGUGCACAUUUUGAUACAUCUUGACACAUAUAUACACCCAUGAAAUCAUCACCACAAUCAGGAUAGUAGAUCUAUCCAUUACCGCCAAGGUUUACUUGCACUCCUUUGAACUUUCUCCCCACUCCUCACCCCCUGCCUAUCCCCAAUCCUUAAGCAAUCACUGAUUUGCUUUCUGUCACUAUCAGUUAAUUUGAAUUUUUCAGAAAUGUAUAUAAAUAAAAUCAUUCGACGUGUAUGCUCUUUUUCUGUUCACCCGGUACAAUUUGAGAUUUAGCCAUGUUUUUGCAUGUGUCAAUAGUUUAUUUUUUUGUUGCUCAGUACUAAUCCAUUUUAUGGAUACAGAGAAAUGUAUUAAUGCAAUCCCAUAUUAAUAGGCAUUUGGGUUGUUUCCAGGUUUGGGCUGUUACAAAUAAAGCUGCUAUGAACAUUUUUGUGCAAGUCUUUUUAUGAGUAUAUUCCUUUAUUUCUUUUGGGUAAAUACCUAGAAGUGGGAUGGGUGUAUCACAUGGUACGUAAAUAUUUAAAUUUUUAAGAGAAUGCCAAACUGUUUUUCAAAGUAAUUGCACCAUUUUAUAUUCCCACCAGGAAUAUAUGAGAAUUCCAGUUCCUCUACAUACUCACAGACAUAUUGUAUGGUCAGU